rnacentral:lncRNA from 1 species
UUUUUUUUUCAACAUCUUGAAUAUGGGUUCACACGUGGCUGUUAGAUGAGAUGUGAACCAUGACAGGUAGUUCAAUCCUUCUAAGAAACCACGAACCUCUUUUUCAUGUUCUUCCUCGGUUCAGGUUUUUUUUUUUUUUUUUUUUUUGCAGGAUGAACCUCGAUUCCUCCCUUACAAUGAACCCCAACAUCUUACCGGACCGCACUCUG